rnacentral:rRNA from 1 species
CGCUUUUUGUUAAUUAUAUAUAAAAAGUAGAACCUGCCCAGUGAAAUAAUUUAAACGGCCGCAGUACCCUGACUGUGUGAAGGUAGCAUAAUCGAUUGCCUCUUAAUUAGAGGCUGGUAUGAAUGGUUUGACGAGGGCUUAACUGUCUCAACAAUAAUUUAUUAGAAAUUAACUUUUAGGUGCAGAGGCCUAAAUUAUAUUGAAGGACAAGAAGACCCUAUUGAGCUUUAAUAAAAUUAAUAAAAAUAUUAAUUAUUUAUAAAUUUUUAAUUAUUAAAUUAUUUUAGUUGGGGCGACUUAGGAACAAAAUAAACUUCCUAUUGUUAAUUAAUAUAUAUAUUGAUCCAGAUAAUUCUGAUCAUUAGAAAAAGUUACCAUAGGGAUAACAGCGUAAUCUUUUUUGAGAGCACAUAUCGAAAAAGGGUGUUGCGACCUCGAUGUUGGAUUAAGAUAUCCUGAAGGGGCAGAAGUUUUCAAGGGUUGGUCUGUUCGACCAUUUAAAUCUUACA